AGGUGGAGGCUAUGCUGGGCUAGAGGCAGAGUGGAAACCAGAUCUUCUUCCGACAAAGAGCAGCACAUAAAAGCAGCCAAGGGGCAUCAUGAGGACGUGGGCCAUCCAGGCAACAGCACCAGUCCGUGACGAUCUCUGAGCUGAAGCAUGUGAUAUGGACAGCACGGUCUUAAAGCAGUGGCUACAGCAAAAGGCCAAGACUGAUACUUUGGACCGAGAGAAAGCAGAACUUCACCUUACUGCCCUUGACCCAGCUUGCUUUGAGAGAAUGAAACCCAGAGCACCUCAGACACAUUUACAGAGGACCUCGAGACACAUUUACCUCGCCCUGCUGUUUCCCCAAACCCAGCCCUCCCACUUGGACUAGGAUCGCUGCCUACUUUUCUUUGUUCUCCCUGCAUCACAGAGAUGGCACAGAGAGGUCAGUUCUCUUUCCUAAAGCUGCCCAACCGUAGAAUCAACGAGAGAAUCCAAACCCAGUAUGGCAGCCUUUAUUACAAGACUCAGACCAGCAAAACAAAGCAGCCAGAGACCAUGGAGCAUGAAAAUAUACACCCAGUUCGUGUUUAAUUCUCUAACAGGUGAGACAGGACCGUCCACAGCAGGAAAGUUCUGACUUUCUCUUGUCUUUGAAAGAUCUGUGGGAAUAAUCAAAAUAUUGCAUUGCAAUUUCUUAAGAU